AAACCUUUCUAGGUGGCAGAUUAAAAAUCAGGUAUGUGAGGCUCAGCUAUGAGUGUUGUGGAAAAAUAAUCCUGGUUUUUCUAGCGCACGCGAGAAAGAAAUGCAGGCAGGAUCAGAAAAGGGAGCGAUGGCUUCAGUGAUGGAACAGAGAUGCAUAGAUCAUCAAGACCUGCUUGAGGCAAACCAAUCUGUGUCUUCCAGAGCAGGAGUAAGAAAUAAGGCUGCUGCAAUCAAUCUCAACUCAACUUGUUCCUGAAAAUUGAAAAUAAUCUAUUGUGUAUCUGAACCUGGACACACCUGUACACAACAAAGUGAACCUCAGUUCUGCAUGUCUAGGUAUGAUCUCUAAUAUAGUGUAAAACCUGAUAUGUCUAGUUAACAUUAAGUGUGGAUACAGGUCUUGCAUAAAUACUGUGGAUUUUUUUUUUUUAAUUUUUUAUUUUAGGGAUUUCAUUUUUACCUUCCAUUACUUGCAUAAAAACUUGUUGCUGUGAGGGUAACCAGUGUUUGGUGUGACUCAUCAUAG
rnacentral:lncRNA from 1 species